rnacentral:lncRNA from 1 species
AGAAGUUAGUCUUAACUUUGGCAGUGGUGAAGAUGCCUUGGCUGCCCUCAACCCCAUUCAAAAGUCCAAUGGAAGGGACUUGUCUCCUGCUCCACCUUUUCCAUCAAUUGGAGGAAAUCCAUUUGGAUAGUUUCUUGAACAUAUUGUUCUUACGACGUGGUAAAAUCUUGUUUUUGAACCCUUUAUGGCGGCUAUGUGCACGUUUAGAAGUUACUUUUAAGUAACUUUUAGUCUUAGCAAAACAUCCUGGUGAAACAUAAAUACUGGAGGAGCACAGGACACUGUAUGGAUAGAUUGAUAGAUAGAUCAAGGUGUAUAUCAAGGGAUAAUAGUGUAAUUUUAUGAAAGUUUGUGAUUCAAAAUAUACAUAUAUCAUUCUGUGUAAUUUCUGAUUUAUUUGUUGGCUAUUGACACUUCGCCCGAAUGGUCCCAAACCACAGUACCUGUGCCAUAGUUUCCGACCCCAGCUGAGAGCAGCAUCUGUAGUUGUUGUGUGUUACUGUCCAUACCAUAAUUAUGCAUUUUAACAUCUGAUUAAGACUUCUUAAGGUUGAAUUCGAGAAGGUGUUUGGUGAAAUCUUGAAAGCGCGCGUGCUGCAUCAUUGACAAGUAAUAAUGUAGGGAGAAAGAGUAUUAUCCCAUGAGGAAUGAACCUUAAAUAAAAUCAUAUUACUUCAUUAUCAAAUUUGAAUGCUGUUGUAAUACCUAAAUAUUGAUUUGUUUGUUUAUAAAUUAUCCUACUAAUUAUCUAAGAAAUAAAUAAAAUAUGUAUGAGAAUGAAGGGUUGAAAUUCUGAAUCCACCAAUUAUUAUCGUAUUUUCAAUUCUCGACCUAUAUUAUUUAGUGUAAUUUGUGUAUCCUUAACAAUCGAUAAUUCAAUUAUGUUAAACUAUAUCUUCUGAAGUAAGUAAAACUUAUUCUAAGCAGGACUUGAUGAUAUUCAUAUUCCGAAUUCAUAUGCUAAGUAAUGCAUUCAAUUACACGAUUGUCGAUAUGAUUGCACAGCCAUAAAUGUCAUCCAUAACAUCUAUUGAUCCGCAUAUUGAAAUUGCAAUGUUCUAAACUUAUCACGAACCUUCUGAAAACAUAAUAAGCAAUUAAUUUCCCAAAUGACACGCAAGCAUUCAAGUAAUACAAGAAGGCCUACAAGAUCAAUCAAAGACACAAAUUAAUUAAGUUAUAACAACAAUAUAUUUGGCCCAUAGACAUAUCUUAGCUCGGCUCACCUUUGGACGGUUCUAUGGCACAAUACGGCCCACUGAGCCCCCACAAACCCUGAGUUGGUCCAGGCCCAUUAGCGGCUAAGGUCAUUCUAGGCCUGGCCAAUUGACUACUUAAACGCAUGGGAUAAUAGAGUAAUAUUAUUUAUUACCACCUUUUCCAUCAAUUGGAGGAAAUCCAUUUGGAUAGUUUCUCGAACAUAUUGUUCUUACGACAUGGUAAAAUCUUGUUUUUGAACCUUUUACACUAGGUGACUAUGUGCACGUUAGAAGUUACUUUUAAGUAACUUUUAGGCUUAGCAAAACAUCCUUAAGUUUCAUGGUGCGGGAGAAGUUGGUACCGUGAAACAUAAAUACCGGAGGAGCACAGGACACUGUAUAGAUAGAUAGAUAAAGGUGUACAAUAGUAUAAUUUCAUGAAAGUGUGUGAUUCAAAUUACAAUAGACUGAUAUAUAUCAUUUUGAAUUCGAGAAUUGGUGUUCGGUGAAAUCCCGAAAGCAUAGUGCAUCAUUGACAAGUAAUUAUGUAGUGG